GUGGCACGGGCGGGGGCACAUUCAGGAAGCCUCUCCCCCACACCCACUGCCUGCCUAAACUUCAGGCCCACAUAGGGCAUUGGCCCAAGGCUUCCUGUUUUGAGGUUGGAUUCCAAUGGCAGGGACCUGUACUGGGAAAAGGAAAAAGGUGGGGAACAGUAGGUGGGUAUCUUCCUGAAGGUGGACAGGGAGCCAGAGAAGCCAGGGGUUUUCCAAGAAGAAGGAUUCCUUCAGCACAAGGAAGGAAGAAGGGGCCAGAGGUGAAGUGUGAGACAGAGAUAAGAGACAUGCUGGGAAGUUGGAGGGAAAGGCAGCUGACGACUCUCACUGCUCAUCCACUCCUUGAACUUGAGCCAUCGAAAGAUCAAGUAAUAGCCAUGUGUGUGUGAGAGCUUCCACCCCUGCAUGCCUCAGGAGUCCAGAAGGCUGUGAACAAAGACGCUGUUCCCCCUACUUCUUAUGAGCAAAGAUGAUUAUUGCCACUGCAUGUGUGAGGGACUGGUAUCGCCCCCUUGGAGAGGAAAUUCAGUGAAGCAAGCAGGAGCCGCCAAUGGGAUACAUGCUUUGGUGACGGUCCCACAGGAAGUGGAGGCCCUCUGGCCAGAGUCCGGGUUGUCUGCUUCCAAAUGGAGAGUCUGCUGAAUGGCAAGCGAUGCUACCCCAAGCCUGCCUCAUGGUCACGUCUCAGCAAUGAGCUUAGCAAUUGGUUUAAAUAACCCUCAAGUCAGGCCCGUGUCUUCCACAAGAAAGAGGUUACGGGUUUUAUUCAUGUUAGGAAAACACCCAACCUUUCGAUGAAUUGGAACAAAAGGUACAUUAUUUUACUCUUUAUCUUCUCCCCUUGUACUGGA